rnacentral:rRNA from 1 species
ACUGAGCGGCGGACGGGUGAGUAACGCGUGGGUAACCUGCCUCAUACAGGGGGAUAACAGUUGGAAACGGCUGCUAAUACCGCAUAAGCGCACAGUACCGCAUGGUACGGUGUGAAAAACUCCGGUGGUAUGAGAUGGACCCGCGUCUGAUUAGGUGGUUGGUGGGGUAACGGCCUACCAAGCCGACGAUCAGUAGCCGACCUGAGAGGGUGACCGGCCACAUUGGGACCGAGACACGGCCCAA